UUAGGGCUAGCCUCGAGGUAAAGAGUCAUGGAGGUAGAGCACUGUUUGGACUAGGGGCCCUUCUCGGGUUACCGAAUUCAGAUAAACUCCGAAUGCCAUGUACUUAUACUCGGGAGUCAGACUGCGAGUGAUAAGAUCCGUAGUCGAAAGGGAAACAGCCCAGACCACCAGUUAAGGUCCCCAAAUAUAUGUUAAGUGGAAAAGGAUGUGGGGUUGCUUAGACAACCAGGAUGUUGGCUUAGAAGCAGCCACCAUUGAAAGAGUGCGUAAUAGCUCACUGGUCGAGUGACCCCGCGCCGAAAAUGUACCGGGGCUAAACAUAUUACCGAAACUGUGGAUGAACCUCUUUAGAGGUUCGUGGUAGGAGAGCGUUCUAAGGGCGGUGAAGUCAGACCGGAAGGACUGGUGGAGCGCUUAGAAGUGAGAAUGCCGGUAUGAGUAGCGAAAGAAGGGUGAGAAUCCCUUCCACCGAAUAUCUAAGGUUUCCUGAGGAAGGCUCGUCCGCUCAGGGUUAGUCGGGACCUAAGCCGAGGCCGAUAGGCGUAGGCGAUGGACAACAGGUAGAGAUUCCUGUACCAGUGCUAAUUGUUUAACCGAUGGGGUGACACAGAAGGAUAGGGAAUCGCACGAAUGGAAAUGUGCGUCCAAGCAGUGAGUGUGAGAAGUAGGCAAAUCCGCUUCUCGCGAAGCAUGAGCUGUGAUGGGGAAGGAAAUUAAGUACGGAAGUUCCUGAUUUCACGCUGUCAAGAAAAGCCUCUAGGAAGAGUAGUACUGCCCGUACCGCAAACCGACACAGGUAGAUGAGGAGAGAAUCCUAAGGUGAGCGAGAGAACUCUCGUUAAGGAACUCGGCAAAAUGACCCCGUAACUUCGGGAGAAGGGGUGCUCUAUUAGGGUGCAAGCCCGAGAGAGCCGCAGUGAAUAGGCCCAGGCGACUGUUUAGCAAAAACACAGGUCUCUGCAAAACCGUAAGGUGACGUAUAGGGGCUGACGCCUGCCCGGUGCUGGAAGGUUAAGAGGAGUGCUUAGCUUCGGCGAAGGUACGAAUUGAAGCCCCAGUAAACGGCGGCCGUAACUAUAACGGUCCUAAGGUAGCGAAAUUCCUUGUCGGGUAAGUUCCGACCCGCACGAAAGGCGCAACGAUCUGGGCACUGUCUCAACGAGAGACUCGGUGAAAUUAUAGUACCUGUGAAGAUGCAGGUUACCCGCGACAGGACGGAAAGACCCCGUGGAGCUUUACUGCAACCUGAUAUGGAAUGUUUGUACCGCUUGUACAGGAUAGGUAGGAGCCGAAGAGACGUGUGCGCUAGCAUACGAGGAGGCAAUGGUGGGAUACUACCCUGGCUGUAUGACCAUUCUAACCCGCCACGCUUAGCGCGUGGGGAGACAGUGUCAGGUGGGCAGUUUGACUGGGGCGGUCGCCUCCUAAAGAGUAACGGAGGCGCCCAAAGGUUCCCUCAGAAUGGAUGGAAAUCAUUCGCAGAGUGUAAAGGCACAAGGGAGCUUGACUGCGAGACUGACAAGUCGAGCAGGGACGAAAGUCGGGCUUAGUGAUCCGGUGGUUCCGCAUGGAAGGGCCAUCGCUCAACGGAUAAAAGCUACCCCGGGGAUAACAGGCUUAUCUCCCCCAAGAGUCCACAUCGACGGGGAGGUUUGGCACCUCGAUGUCGGCUCGUCGCAUCCUGGGGCUGUAGUCGGUCCCAAGGGUUGGGCUGUUCGCCCAUUAAAGCGGCACGCGAGCUGGGUUCAGAACGUCGUGAGACAGUUCGGUCCCUAUCCGUCGCGGGCGCAGGAAAUUUGAGAGGAGCUGUCCUUAGUACGAGAGGACCGGGAUGGACACACCGCUGGUGUACCAGUUGUUCCGCCAGGAGCAUCGCUGGGUAGCUAUGUGUGGCAGGGAUAAACGCUGAAAGCAUCUAAGCGUGAAGCCCCCCUCAAGAUGAGAUUUCCCAUUUCUUCGGAAAGUAAGAUCCCUGAAAGAUGAUCAGGUAGAUAGGUUUGGAGUGGAAGUGUAGCGAUACAUGGAGCGGACAAAUACUAAUCGAUCGAGGACUUAACCAAAA
rnacentral:rRNA from 1 species